AAUAAUGAAAUCUAAUUAACAUAGUAAAGUAAAGUGGUAGAUCUUUUUUUGUGUGACAGUAGUUAUAACUCAGAGAUCAAAGAGCAGAGGUAAAUGGCACAGUUGUUUCUGGUAACCACAUGGAGCCAGUAAGAAGUCCAUUAACGGUGAACCGUGAUGCUUCAGCUGGGCUUGUUAUCACAUGAAACCCAGGCCAUUGCACUCUGUUUGUCACGGAUGAACCAGGCCCAGAGUUCUCAUACUCUCCAUAAAACAAAGUGUCAAGAGCAAAAUCAGUAUCAUCCCAUGAAGACCAUCCCAACGGGUGUCCAUGAAAGUUUGCUUGCCCAUCUAAUGGUUUUCUUGCAAUUCUGAAAAACUACUGCGGCGUUGCCAAAGAUGAAGUCGUAGAUAUGGCAUUGUCUGUAAAAUUGGCGUUGAUCUCAUCACCAAGAACCGCAACCAUGCGUCGUGUGUUACCAUUUUUCUCCUUUACUCUUGCUGGGUCUGGACUUUUGUUUGAGUCGUUUUAUGUAAUCAUUCAAGUGAGAAAUCCAUGGACGCACGAGCUAUGGUCGAAUCGGUUUGAAAUCGUAGUUGGGGAUGAUAUCGUAACUCUGCUUAUGUUCCCUCCCUUUCUUCGUUGGCUGCCUUCUCAAUUAUCUGUUGUCCUCUCCUUUUUCAUUUUCUCUUCUCUAACAAUUGAUUAUUUUCAAAUUUGUUGAGCUAACAGUGCAAGUGAUUAGAAAUAAGUAGAAACCAGUCAGCAUUUUUUAAUUCAUUCUGAUUGCUACACUACAUGAUCAAUGUUAUUAUGUUUGAAAGUUAAUAUGAGUAUGUAUCUUUUGUUCUACAAUAUUGAUGCGUAAAUUAUGUGGGUCCUGAUAAAUGAUAUUCAAUUUAGCUAAGAUUUUUUGUGGACCAAACUCAGAAUCACAGCCAAAAGUGAUAGAAACAACAGUAAAACAACAUAUAAAAAAGCGCACAAUAGAAUUUUUAGAUUCAUGAUUUGGUACUUUUCAUACUAACUUACAAUUUUUAGAGACAAGAGUGGAUUAUAAAUGUUUAAGAGGGCUACACAGUUUUGUUGUCUUUGAUUUAUUUUUCCCCCUGAUUAAACUGUAUUAGCAGUUUAUUUCAUGUGUUUCGAAAAAAUCCAGUUAUAUAAUUGGUUUGCUUUGUUUAUGUAUUUUAUAUUUUAUCUUAGAAGAAGAUGAACAUGAAAGUUGUGAAAACUGGCACAAUAGGUGUGGGUAUUCUGCACAAUUAGUAUUUCCUGCCUAUUAAAUGACCCUUUAGUUGAAUUUGUUUUUAUUACUUCCUAGGCCUGCCUUAGUUAGCUUUGCACCAUUGACUUGGAUCUACAGUGGUAGUUGAUUUUCCUCUGUGCAAUUUGUGAUUCUGGGGUUAGAGAUUUUAUUAUUCUCCCCUCUUUUUGCUCACAUGGGUGAUUUUUAUUGUGCUUACUUAUACUCUUCACUCAUAUAGUUUUAAUUUGCCUGGAAUGAUGCAUCAGAAUUUGCUAACAUAGAGUCAUAGUAGUUAUCCUAAUAUGCAAGGCCAGUAAAUACAAGUUAUCCUCUAGAUGUUUCCUUUAGAAUCACAAGGCAGACAUAAAUUCCCAUGAUGCAAGAAGGAUAUAAUCCUUAUCAGAAAUAUCAUGUAUGCUCAUGGACUAACCACACAUUGUUAUCUUAUGCAUGAAGAUCCUUAAUCAAUUUUGUGCAUGGAUUCUGAAGUGUCUGGUGACACUUAUGUGGACUAUAUACCUAAUUUUGUUGUGCAAAUGAAAUUCUUUUGUAGUCAUAUUAAAUGCUUGAUUCUGCUUUAAGUUUUGCUCUUAGGCAUUUAACUGCUAAAAGUUGUCUUUCCCCUCUGUUGCUCAAUUGGAUCUGGAACUACAUUGAUCAUUUUUUUGUGUUAUUGCCAUUUAUUAGUAAAAUUCCAUUAAAUUUGUGAUUCUUUAACACUAAAGGUAUUGUCAUUUAAAAACCCUUUGGGCAGAUUGCUAAGUUGGAUGCUCAAAGUUGAAUCGCCAUCUUCCAUCCUUUAAGAACGGUGCCUUGGGGAUGAAAUAUGUGUUUGCUGAGAGUUGGGCUUCAGAAUAUCUAAAUGUCAUCUUAUCCAAAUGGCCAAUUAAGAGGUGGAUAAGGAUGAUGAUUUCAGGUUCCUUCUUCCUCUCAUAUUUCCACUGAAAAAUUGAGACUUUCCAUUUUUUCAUCAUGAAAGUAAUUAGUUAAGAUUUUUGUUAUAGAAAAAACUACAAUAAGAACUGUUUAUGUGUUGCAAGAAUGUUUUCAAGGCCUCAAUAGUUGUGCCCUUGGCAGGAGAAUCAGAAAAUGACACUGUUUAGAUCAUCAUGAACUGUGGUCAUGUAUUUACUCUUUAUGACAUGCUUACCUAUGAAUUACACUUGCAGUGAUACACAUAGUUCUCCUUCUUCUUCCUAGGGACUUAGUCAUCUUAUUGAACCUAAUCUGUUCACAUUGGAGGAGGAUUUUUGUAUCAUGCUGCAACCGAAAACUAGAGGAGCUUAAGGAGUUUAAUGAGAUUGCCAGGUUCCGAGUUUAUUGUUCGAGUCACAAUCAAAUUGCCACAAUCAAUUUUCUGUUGCUAAUAGGGUGAAGGCGAUCAAUUUGUGGAUAAAGCAUUCUUGGAUUUUGGAUACGAAGAAGUGAAUCUCACCCCUUCUGAAGAGAAAGCAAGAUAAGGAUCAUGAAAGUGUUGGUGACAGUAACAGCCCAAAGAACUUGAAGAGUAUCAUGAUAGUGGAGGGUUGAUCUUUUAGAGAAGACUCUUUUCUAUGAUUUAGAUUGAAAAAUCAUGUUAUUUUACUGUAAUGGAUACCCUUAUCAGGCUCUGUUUUUUCCUUGAGUUCUGUUGUGCAUUUUCUAUCUAUAAAUGAUAU